rnacentral:rRNA from 1 species
UAGGGAAUCUUCCACAAUGGACGCAAGUCUGAUGGAGCAACGCCGCGUGAGUGAAGAAGGUUUUCGGAUCGUAAAGCUCUGUUGUUGGUGAAGAAGGAUAGAGGCAGUAACUGGUCUUUAUUUGACGGUAAUCAACCAGAAAGUCACGGCUAACUACGUGCCAGCAGCCGCGGUAAUACGUAGGUGGCAAGCGUUGUCCGGAUUUAUUGGGCGUAAAGCGAGCGCAUGCGGAAUGAUAAGUCUGAUGUGAAAGCCCACGGCUCAACCGUGGAACUGCAUCGGAAACUGUCAUUCUUGAGUGCAGAAGAGGAGAGUGGAAUUCCAUGUGUAGCGGUGGAAUGCGUAGAUAUAUGGAAGAACACCAGUGGCGAAUGCGGCUCUCUGGUCUGCAACUGACGCUGAGGCUCGAAAGCAUGGGUAGCGAACAGG